CAAAUGGUGGAGAGUCCCAGAUUUAAACUCAGUGGGCGUUUCCUCCCAAAGAGGGACAAAAGGACCCCAUAUAACAGACGGACCCUCAACAUCACUUUUCUAUGAUUAAAAAAAAAUCAUACUCUAAAUUGUGCUGCUAAGAGGAAGGAGGCGGGUUUAACUGCCGGGGGGAAACAGGUCUCACACCUCUGUGUGGUACGAUGGGAAAAGCACCUCAUCUGUGUCUGCUCCUUCUAAUGUUUCUACUCUGCCACACAACAAAUCAAGAUACAAGAAAUUCUCCCACAGCUCGUCUGACUGUGAGUCCCAGCAGCUUUCAAUUCCUUAAAGGAGACUUUGUGUCUCUGAGCUGUGAGGAGGACGACAGCUCUGCUGGAUGGACUCUGAGGAGAAACACAAGCAAAGAAACCAGAGCUGAGUGUGAAAAGUGGGGAACACCAGCUGGUUCUUCUUGUAACAUCAGUGCCCUCCCAUUGGACAGUGGAGUUUACUGGUGUGAGUCCAGAGAGGGUCCCAUCAGUAACAUGGUUAACCUGACAGUCACUGGUGGAUCAGUGAUCCUGCAGAGUCCUGUCCUCCCUGUGAUGGAGGGAGAUG